rnacentral:lncRNA from 1 species
AAACCAUGAUUUUUUUUUCAUAAGGACCCUUUGUAACUUUAUUCAUAUAUCAAUGAUUUUAUUUCCCUCAGCUCUCGUUCCUAUUGUAGAAAAAGUGUUUAUUCUUUUCUUUUUCUUUUUGUCAAAAAAAAAACCGUUCCUAGCUAUGUACAACCCAUUACAAGAGGUUAUCACAUGCAUUUGCAUUCGCACGCACUAAAUGUAAAAAAAAAAAUAUAUUUUAUAGCCUAAUAUUUUUGUUUAAACUAUUUAGGUAUAUGUAUAAACUUUGUUUCAACUAAGAAAUUAACAUUAAUAGUAAAUUUUGGUAAGUUUAGCAUCUUAUUUUUGUG